AGUGAACGCUGGCGGCGUGCCUAAUACAUGCAAGUCGAACGGAGUGGCGCACGGGUGAGUAAUAUAUAGCUAAUCUGCCCCUUGCUGGAGGACAACAGUUAGAAAUGACUGCUAAUACUCCAUAGAAAGGGAUGAGACUAUAUAGUAUCAGCUAGUCGGUGGGGUAACGGCCUACCGAGGCUAUGACGCGUAACUGUUCUGAGAGGAUGAUCAGUCAAAUUGGAACGGAGACACGGGUCAAACUCCUUCGGGAGUGAGCAGUAGGGAAUAUUGCGCAAUGUGCGAGACCCAGACGCAGCAACGCCGCGUGAAGGAUGACACUUUGCGGAGCGUAAACUCCUUUUGUUAGGGAAGCGGUACCUAACGAAUAAGCACCGGCUAACUCCGUGCCAGCAGCCGCGGUAAUUC
rnacentral:rRNA from 1 species